GAAAUAAAUUUAAGUUAAACUUCUAAUUUAACACUUAGUGAUUAACUCUCAUUAUUAUUUCU
rnacentral:tRNA from 1 species